rnacentral:lncRNA from 1 species
UGUGGGUUCGGGGGCAGCGACCAGCGCGGAGUUUGCGCCGCGGCAGCGCGGGGCGCAGCAUGGGGCAGUGUCAGUGACCGCGCGGAGAGCGCCGCUCUGGCCAACCCGCCUCCGCCAGGCCAGCGUCCCUCCUCCCGCGGCUGCAAAGUUCAGUCUCCCCGCGGGUCCCAGGGCGGCUGCCGCUCCCUCCCCCUGCCAGGAGCCGGCGGCUCGUUUCCUCUUUCGCUCCUCGCCGCCUUUCUCUGUUCGCAGCCCGAAGCGGAGCCGCGGCUCCGGGGACCGCGGCCGCCGCCGAGCAGCAGCAGCGAGCGCUUCACUUCGCGCGGGUCAGGCGAGGGAGCGUCCCACCCCGGCAGCCGGAGCGCGGCGAGACCAGCCCAGCCCCAGGACCUGGGAGAUGAGCCUGCCUGCGUUCAGCUUCACCGCUGCAGAUUAAACUUCUCAAACACUGUCCGUUUUGCUUAGUAAGCAGGUGGCGGGUGCCUGUAAUACUUGUGGCGGGUGCCUGAGGCACAAUUCAUGUUGCAAAGGUUAAUGAUGGAAUGCUUCGUAUGCAGAUGACAGAAGGAGAAAAACUGAAGAUGAGGAGUUGGCCAUUGAUGGACACAU